rnacentral:rRNA from 1 species
UGAGGAAUAUUGGUCAAUGGGCGAGAGCCUGAACCAGCCAAGUAGCGUGCAGGAAGACGGCCCUAUGGGUUGUAAACUGCUUUUAUGUGGGGAUAAAGUGCGUGACGUGUCAUGCAUUGCAGGUACCACAUGAAUAAGGACCGGCUAAUUCCGUGCCAGCAGCCGCGGUAAUACGGAAGGUCCGGGCGUUAUCCGGAUUUAUUGGGUUUAAAGGGAGCGUAGGCUGUCUAUUAAGCGUGUUGUGAAAUAUACCGGCUCAACCGGUGGCUUGCAGCGCGAACUGGUCGACUUGAGUAUGCAGGAAGUAGGCGGAAUUCAUGGUGUAGCGGUGAAAUGCUUAGAUAUCAUGAAGAACUCCGAUUGCGAAGGCAGCUUACGGGAGCGCAACUGACGCUGAAGCUCGAAGGUGCGGGUAUCGAACAGG